GUGAUCUGGCGGAGUGGUUUGUGGCGCGACACUUGUCUCACUAGAAAAAUUAAGGACUGAGAUCAAAACCUCACCACAACAACGUCAUUUUGGUGAGUAAAUUAAAAAACAAAGGAAAAAAAAAAAACUUUUCAUCUUUGUUUCAGUUAUUCAACAACGAAGCUAUUCCGAUCCUCUACCUUCAACAGAUUCGAAAUAAAACAGAAACAACCGACAUGGGUUUUUGAAAGGAUCGAAAUUACAGGCUCCGAAUCUUAUUCUGCUGCUUAAUCGCUUUAUACACCAAUUUGGGCUUGGAUUUAAAUUCCAUGCACUUCAAAUCCACAGAAACAGGAAAAGCUGUGAACUCCAAAA